UUAAAAUACUUAAACAAACAUAAAACUCAAAACAGCAACCUAAUGACUCAAAACUGCCUAAAAACAACUUUCUGGGCAGUUUUGAGAACCUAACAAGAACUUGGACGAAGUUGGAUGAAAACUUGAAUCAAAACACUUUCUAACUAAUCUAAGACUUCAAAAUAAAGGGGGAUUUGUUUUGGACGAAAAUUGAAAACAAAACAGAAACUUUAAAACAAAACAGAUUGUAAAACGUUUUUGGAUGAAAAUGGAUGGAUAAAAGGCUAGUUAGGAGGUUCUUCUCCACACAUGACACACUUGCA
rnacentral:lncRNA from 1 species